CCUANGGGGGGCAGCAAUUAGGAAUCUUGCGCAAUGGGCGAAAGCCUGACGCAGCGACGCCGCGUGACUGAUGAAGUCUUUCGGGAUGUAAAGGUCUUUUGCAGGGGACGAAGGAAGUGACGGUACCUUGCGAAUAAGCUCCGGCUAACUACGUGCCAGCAGCCGCGGUAAUACGUAGGGAGCGAGCGUUGUCCGAAUUUACUGGGCGUAAAGCGCGCGUAGGCGGGCUUUUAAGUUGUGGGUGAAAUGCCGAGGCUUAACCUCGGAACUGCCUGCAAAACUGGGAGCCUUGAGGUUUGGAGAGGGAAGUGGAAUUCCAGGUGUAGCGGUGAAAUGCGUAGAUAUCUGGAGGAACACCCGUGGCGAAGGCGGCUUCCUGGCCAUAUCCUGACGCUGAGGUGCGAAAGCUAGGGGAGCGAACGGGAUUAGAUACCCCANUANUC
rnacentral:rRNA from 1 species